UUGGAGAACUUCGAGCAGAAA
rnacentral:sRNA from 1 species